rnacentral:lncRNA from 1 species
CAAGCGUUGUGGGCUUGUGGCAUUAGCAUAAGAAAGAUAAAUGAUAAAAAUGACUGACACCAUAAAAAAUAGAAUUAGCCUUGUGCAAAAUAUUUCCUAGAUAUCAGAUAUGGGGGGGGGGGGGGGGGGCGUCGGAUUCCGUCGAAAACAUUGUUCGGAUUUUGGAUCUGGCGAAUAUUUUACACGGUUUUGCGGAUCUUAUUAAUACAUCGGAUUGCGGAUUUAUCUAAUAUUUUGGCUCAGAUUGUGGAUUUACCUUGUAAUUUAAUUUGAAUCCUGGUUUGUGACUUUAUAGUAGAGCUUUUAGCGGAUCCAAAUUUAGAUAAAACCAUUGUCGGAUUGGCGGAUUUUGCUUCGAACUUGGGCGGAUCGACGGAUUUGUUUUCUGUCAAUAUAGGAUAGAGAAACUGGUUUCCACUUGAUUGCAGUCACAACCAAGUCAUGGUCAUUGGUAACUAAGUCUGGAUCAAUCUUGUCUUUUGUGUACUGUAUGUAAAGCAAGGAGAGCUUUGACAUUUCCAGCAAAGGUCUAAUUUGUCUGGUGAAAAGCCCUUCAAUCAAAAUAUCGAAGUUCUUGUAUUUUUCAGGUAGUUGUAUCCCUAUCUAAUCCAAAGCUUUCCUAUUGACACUACCUACACUGAUACAGAGUGCAGUAUGUAAAGUAGUCUUCUGGUUACAGAAAUACAUGGACAUUCCAAUCACAAUUACAUCUCUUUCUAUUAAAUCAUCAACAACUUAAAUCAAGCCACAACCCUACUUGCCCACAUGGAAAAAGUUUUGGAGGUUUUAACGAGCAAGCCAGCAGGAAAGGAUGUUAUUGGUUUUCUACCGAUAAAAGAGUUAUUUUCUGAGAAUUUUUAUAAAUACAUUCGAAGUCAAUCAACAAACCAUGUUACAGCACAGUUACAUUGGACUGUUAAAUGCGAACGAUUAUUCUUAUCAAAAAAUGCAUGCUAGUAAUCGACUCUCAUGAUACUGUACACCAGAAUCAGCGUAGUAUAAAAUGAUAAAAUGUUACAUGUGCUUGUUGUGCUACUUAAUUAGUGCUUAACUAACUACUUAAUUAAUUAAUUAACACUUAAGUCUUGAUGACCGUCAUAUAUGUUAGCUUCAUUUGCUUAAAUAAAAGCAAGUCUUCGUAAUAUUAAAAUAAUAAAAUGUUGUAACUUACACCAAGCUUGAUGUUUGUAGUGUUACUCUAAAGGCCCAUUUACACGAUACGAUU